rnacentral:lncRNA from 1 species
UAAUUCCGUCCAUUUUUUCAACGCAGAUUUGGGGGAUAUCAGAUAUCCCUGAUUAUUCUCGAUUUCCAUAAUCAAAUUGGAUCCUCAUUUGACUGCAAUGAAUUGUAUUUACCUCUUCCUCGUUCAGAAAUUAGAGAUUCAAAGAACACUCUCAAAACAAAAGAAAAGGUGGCGCCGAUCGCAUUCUGCAGUUUGAUUUCAUAGGGUAAUUUUUCAUUUGGUUUUCUUAGCUUGAUUUGUAUUUGUGUGUUUUUUCGUUGAAUAUUCAUUGUCGACGCAUACCAUAUACGAGAUUUUAAGUUUUUCUCACGGUUAAUCCCAGUUUUUCACGCAUACCAUAUUCAAUUCGCACAUCCCGAAAAUCCGUUGCAUCUCUCGAUCCUUCGAACGUCACAUUUGUUCGAACAAUGAAGAAAGCUUCAGAUCGGGACGAAGCUUUAGAUUUUG